GUGGGGAAUAUUGCGCAAUGGGGGAAACCCUGACGCAGCGACGCCGCGUGAGCGAUGAAGGCCUUCGGGUUGUAAAGCUCUGUCUUCCCUGACGAUAAUGACGGUAAGGGAGGAGGAAGCCACGGCUAACUACGUGCCAGCAGCCGCGGUAAUACGUAGGUGGCAAGCGUUGUCCGGAAUUACUGGGCGUAAAGGGUGCGUAGGCGGCUCUUUAAGUGGGGUGUGAAAUCCCUGGGCUCAACCCAGGAACUGCACUCCAAACUGGAGAGCUAGAGUGCAGGAGAGGAAAGCGGAAUUCCCAGUGUAGCGGUGAAAUGCGUAGAGAUUGGGAGGAACACCAGUGGCGAAGGCGGCUUUCUGGACUGUAACUGACGCUGAGGCACGAAAGCGUGGGGAGCAAACAGGAUUAGAAACCCUAGUAGUCC
rnacentral:rRNA from 1 species